AAGCCAGUAGGCAAGCGGCCGCCGACAUUGUUGCUGGAUUUUGGGGUCGCGCUGCGGGGAAUCAGGGGUAAAACGAAACACCAACGCACAGGCGAGAGCUGCGACCACAAAAAAGCGGGCCAAAUCCAAAGCGACCGCGGAAAACAGGCCAUUUUUUGCUGCUCGUGUGUUUCUGAGUCGUAAAAGUGGACGUUUUGUGAUUUUGUGAUAUUUGGUGAAUUGUGCAAACGUUUUCGAAUGAAAAUACGCCGAAACUCCAAUUAAACGCGGCAAUGAAAAUGAAGAAAAAGCGAACGCGCACAGCACGAACGAAGGCAAAUAAAUGAAAGAAAUGAAAUGAAGAAGAGGACGAAAAAGACCGCGGAAUGCUAGACAGAGAUGGCGCUAUUUUCCAGCGAAGAUAUUACCAACUCAAGCAUAAAUAGAGGUGUACGUGUGAAAUCAACUAUCCAUCUUUCGAGUCUCUACUGUACACACCUCCCAGAGCGGACAUUAAACCGCAAGAGCAGCUCACAAUGGAAGCGCUUUGUUGUCGUCGGCGUUAUCAAUUAAAUGUAAAGCGCGGCGCAGCGCAAACGAAAUGGAAAUGAAAAUGGCAGCCGUGAGAUACGCCACUCACACAGAUACUAUGUACAGAUACUUGCAUGUGCGUAUGUUCGUAUGUGCUGCACACUUUUACAAAAGUUUGUUAUUAUUAUAUUUGCGAUGAGCGGAAAUGCCAAUUGAAGCUACCUUUAACAAAGCCCCAUGAAGAUGCCAGCCCCGGGGUUAACUACUGAUGGACGGACAGACGGACGGAUGGACAGACUGUGUGCAUGACUCAAGUGUUUUUCAGGGGAGCCACUCGAGCCGAAGCUGAAAAUUGAUUGAUUCCACUAAGCGACUGGCCCGCGCACAUGGAAAUGGAAGCUAAAACCACUCGAGUGUUCAAGAUAACCUCGAUCAGUUGAUCCUUGAAGUGUGCCCACAACAACUGUUAUCCUUGACAACCCGAACAACAUCAUCAUCAUCCUAAACGUUGUCAGAGCGAUCAUCGUUAUCUGUUUUCAUAACUGUCAAUUGUUGACUUUUGUUUCGAACUGCAUUUGAAUGUCGGCGCACAGCCUUAAACCCCGUGCCCAUUUUCAUUCACGAAAAGAAAAGCAGCUGGAAAAGGUCCUUGCGGGAAAGAGAGGGCAGAUAUAUUGGAAAUAUUUGGGCACGUGUGCGUUGUAUGGCAUUGAUUUUGUGGUUCGGCUUUUGUAGUCCUAAGCAGCCUAACGGUUUACCUGAACUAUCGAGGGAAAUCCUGUAAAAUAAGGGCUUGAAAACGUAGAGGAGUGAGUUUUCCGAAUGAGAUAAGAAGUGUGAGAGAGCUAAAGAGAGAUCGAAGUUAGCCCGCAUAUUUUGGAAAACUUUACCGUUUCCCCACUCGAAUCCGGUAAUUUAAUAUUUUCUAGACCGUGUUUAUUUUACGCAAAAACUGUUUGCGUUGCGUUCGAGGGAAAUUAACGAAAAUUGAAACAGAUACUAGGGCACACGUCACAGGACUCACGCUCAGCUGAGCAAAUACUUGAGUCGGUUCUCGAAAAGGUUGCGGACACGUCCUUCAAAUAGAUGUAACAUUAGCUGCUAAAAGGUUAAACACUCCGUUGGCCAGGAAAUCUCGAAAAGCUAAUAAAAAAUGCAAAACGAAAGUGCAGCCAUCUCCGCCGCUGUAGAAACAAUAUUCAAAGUAUAAAAAUAAUAAUAAAUCCCAUUUGGCCGCCGGCAGCCCGUUCAAUGAAAACAAUAACAAACAGGCAAAGGAUCAGGACACGCUCGCCAGCCGAAGUUUACCUUGAUGCGGCCGCAUCAGCGGACAAAGUGAACAAACAAAUAAGCAAAUGAACGCUCGCCGAAAAAGCACAAUAAUAAAAAUACAAAAAAAUUAAGCAAGCAGCAGUGGGAAGCGAGAUUGCGGCACGCGUCUGACGACCUACCACAGGACAAAGGAAAAAUCCAGGACUCGCGAGCGGAGAAAUCGAGCAGCAAAAUCAGAGCGAUUCAGACUCCGCACAGUGGGGCCAAACCGGAAAAUAGUUAAGUUAUUCGAUCGGAUUUAAUACGAGCACCAAAAGUAGUAUUUUUAAUUAACUUAGCAUAUGAUAAAAGAUAAUCGACACUCUCAAAUACCUGUUAUAAGAUACAAUUAAGGAAUUUCAAGUUCAGGACAUUCUAAUGUUUUCGUUGCACUUUUGCAACAACCUUUGACCACUGUACCCGACCAGCAACCAGCUAACGGGCGAAAAAAACAAGUUUCAGUCACCUUUUUUCCGUGAUUGGUGGUGGAUUCUUUGGUUGGCAGUCAGACAGAAGACAAAAGUCAGUCACAUGUGCACAUGGACCAUGGAACAUGGGACACGGGGUUUAGAGGGAUGAGGAGGCCAGGGCUUCCACCUUUCGGCUGCUGCUGUUGUUCUUUCACCUCAAUUGCAGCAGGAACUGGAAUCGAGAUCGCAUUGUUGACAUCAUCGCGAAAGGGACGAAAUCAGAAGGCACUGUGGGGUAGUUUUCUGCCCAGGAUCAGCCCUCAUUUGGCCAUUUGGCCUGCAGCUACCUCAGUUUGUUGUAAGUAAUCGCCGUCAUCAUCAUCAUCAGCCUCAUCGAUGGGUGGAAAAUGGCAGGGCGGGCGUCAAGGACAACUGGCGACAACAUGUGCGUCAUCGCAGUGGAAGCCGCCACGUUUACUCAUUAGGUUUGGCCCAAAAGCGAUUUUCAACUUUUUUUUUUGGCCCGAAACGUAUAUAUUUGCGAAAUUGCGCAGGAGAUUCG